rnacentral:rRNA from 1 species
GAGCGGCAAGGUCUUCGGACCCUAGAGCGGCGCACGGGUGAGUAACGCGUACGCAAUCUGCCCUUCAGUGAGGAAUAGCCCUGGGAAACUGGGAUUAAUACCUCAUAAUAUUAUUUGUUCGCAUGGAUGAAUAAUUAAAGUUCUGGCGCUGAAGGAUGAGCGUGCGUCUGAUUAGCUAGUUGGUAGGGUAACGGCCUACCAAGGCUACGAUCAGUAGGGGGCGUGAGAGCGUGACCCCCCACACGGGUACUGAGACACGGACCCGACUCCUACGGGAGGCAGCAGUAAGGAAUAUUGGGCAAUGGAGGCAACUCUGACCCAGCCAUCCCGCGUGAAGGAUUAAGGCCCUAUGGGUUGUAAACUUCUUUUGUCUGGGAAGAAAUCUGGACAUUUAUGUGCAGUUGACGGUACCUUACGAAUAAGCACCGGCUAACUCCGUGCCAGCAGCCGCGGUAAUACGGAGGGUGCAAGCGUUAUCCGGAAUCACUGGGUUUAAAGGGUGCGUAGGCGGUUUGAUAAGUCAGAGGUGAAAGCUAGCAGCUUAACUGUUAAAUUGCCUUUGAUACUGUCAGACUUGAAUCAAGUUGAGGUAGGCGGAAUGUGACAUGUAGCGGUGAAAUGCAUAGAUAUGUCAUAGAACACCAAUUGCGUAGGCAGCUUGCUGGGCUUGAAUUGACGCUGAGGCACGAAAGCGUGGGGA